rnacentral:rRNA from 1 species
GAUGAACGCUGGCGGCGUGCCUAAUACAUGCAAGUCGAGCGAACAGACGAGGAGCUUGCUCCUCUGACGUUAGCGGCGGACGGGUGAGUAACACGUGGAUAACCUACCUAUAAGACUGGGAUAACUUCGGGAAACCGGAGCUAAUACCGGAUAAUAUAUUGAACCGCAUGGUUCAAUAGUGAAAGACGGUUUUGCUGUCACUUAUAGAUGGAUCCGCGCCGCAUUAGCUAGUUGGUAAGGUAACGGCUUACCAAGGCAACGAUGCGUAGCCGACCUGAGAGGGUGAUCGGCCCCCCUGGAACUGAGACACGGUCCAGACUCCUACGGGAGGCAGCAGUAGGGAAUCUUCCGCAAUGGGGGAAAGCCUGACGGAGCAACGCCGCGUGAGUGAUGAAGGUCUUCGGAUCGUAAAACUCUGUUAUUAGGGAAGAACAAAUGUGUAAGUAACUAUGCACGUCUUGACGGUACCUAAUCAGAAAGCCACGGCUAACUACGUG